rnacentral:rRNA from 1 species
UACGAAGGGGGCUAGCGUUGUUCGGAUUUACUGGGCGUAAAGCGCACGUAGGCGGAUCGUUAAGUCGGGGGUGAAAUCCUGGAGCUCAACUCCAGAACUGCCUUCGAUACUGGCGAUCUAGAGUCCGGAAGAGGUGAGUGGAACUCCUAGUGUAGAGGUGGAAUUCGUAGAUAUCAAGAGGAACACCUGAGGUGAAGACGGGUUGCUGGGCUGACACUGACGCUGAGGCGCGAAAGCCAGGGGAGCAAACGGG